UUAUAAAAUUCCGAAGUUCGAGUGGCCGGUAUACGAGUUAUAUAUUACGAAUAACUAAGUGUGUGGAUUUCGAGUAGAUAUCUCGUGUCGCUUAGAAGUCAGAAGUAUCCGACAGACGGUACAGACCUACAGACGGCCGGAGUCGGUACAUCAUUAAAGUUCCGGUUGGGCGCCGCGGGCACGAAACCUCAAAACCGAAAAAUCUGAACUGUUUUAUUUCCAUUUCAAACACACCGCGUUGUGCACUUAACCAUUCUUGUAACGUGCCGUUUGCACGUACCCA